ACGGAAGGCAGCAGUGGGGAAUAUUGCACAAUGGGGGAAACCCUGAUGCAGCGAUGCCGCGUGGAGGAAGAAGGUUUUCGGAUUGUAAACUCCUGUCUUAAAGGACGAUAAUGACGGUACUUUAGGAGGAAGCUCCGGCUAACUACGUGCCAGCAGCCGCGGUAAUACGUAGGGAGCGAGCGUUGUCCGGAAUUACUGGGUGUAAAGGGAGCGUAGGCGGGACUGCAAGUCAGAUGUGAAAUAUGCCGGCUCAACUGGCAGACUGCAUUUGAAACUGCGGUUCUUGAGUGAAGUAGAGGUAAGCGGAAUUCCUAGUGUAGCGGUGAAAUGCGUAGAUAUUAGGAGGAACAUCAGUGGCGAAGGCGGCUUACUGGGCUUUAACUGACGCUGAGGCUCGAAAGCGUGGGGAGCAAACAGGAUUAGAUACCCUGGUA
rnacentral:rRNA from 1 species